UACAGAGGUCCCAAGCGUUGUUCGGAUUCAUUGGGCGUAAAGGGUGCGUAGGCGGGUCUUUAAGUCAGAGGUGAAAUCCUGGAGCUCAACUCCAGAACUGCCUUUGAUACUGAAGAUCUUGAGUUCGGGAGAGGUGAGUGGAACUGCGAGUGUAGAGGUGAAAUUCGUAGAUAUUCGCAAGAACACCAGUGGCGAAGGCGGCUCACUGGCCCGAUACUGACGCUGAGGCACGAAAGCGUGGGAGCAAACAGGG
rnacentral:rRNA from 1 species